AGAGUAAGAGAGGAGAGGAGAGGGGAGAGAACGAUAGAGAAGAUUUUUUUAUUUUUUUUUUCUGUACGACAAAAGGAAAAGUUUUCUUUUUUUCCUUUUUUCCUUUCUCUUUCUGAUCCAUUCUUCACGGUCCCCUACCGUGAUUUUGUUUUUAUUAUAUUUUGAGAGGCAGGUUGUGUGAGGCAGCUUUUUUGAGACGACCUUCUCUCCCUCUCCUUUCCUCUCAAGGUUCGAGUUUCGUGUUAUUUAUGCGUUUUUUAAGUUAUAAGGGAAAUAAAUAAUAUUAUCUAACAAUCUCAAGGACAUUCUUACUAUCACUGAUGUGCUUGUCUAGACACAAAGAAA
rnacentral:ribozyme from 1 species